rnacentral:rRNA from 1 species
GGGCCCGCACAAGCGGUGGAGCAUGUGGUUUAAUUCGAUGAUACGCGAGGAACCUUACCAGGGCUUAAAUGUAAGUUGCAUAAAUCAGAGAUGAUUUUUUCUUCGGACUACUUACAAGGUGCUGCAUGGUUGUCGUCAGCUCGUGCCGUGAGGUGUCAGGUUAAGUCCUAUAACGAGCGCAACCCCUGUCGUUAGUUGCCAUCAAGUAAUGUUGGGUACUCUAGCGAGACUGCCGGUGCAAACCGAGAGGAAGGUGGGGAUGACGUCAAAUCAUCACGGCCCUUACGUCCUGGGCUACACACGUGCUACAAUGGCCGGUACAGAGAGCAGCCACUACGCGAGUAGGAGCGAAUCUUCAAAACCGGUCUCAGUUCGGAUCGCAGUCUGCAACUCGACUGCGUGAAGCUGGAAUCGCUAGUAAUCG